GAGAGCUGCCGCCGCGGCCGGCCGGCGACGCUGGCGACGCUUUCGCCCCUGAGGUAGUUUGGCGACCGCGAAGAAGGAAAAAGGGCGGGCGGGCGGCUGUCCUCUCACCGUCCUCACCCCGCGAGGCCCGGCCCGCUCCUCCGUCGUGGAUUUCGCGGCGAUCCCCCCGGCAGCUCUUUGCAAAGCUGCUUGAAACUUCUCCCAAACUCGGCAUGGAUACGACUGCGGCGGCGGCGCUGCCUGCUUUUGUGGCGCUCUUGCUCCUCUCUCCUUGGCCUCUCCUGGGAUCGGCCCAAGGCCAGUUCUCCGCAGCUUCGCUUGGCUGGCGAGCGCAUCUGCUGCUGGGGUUCGCGGUGCAGAUGGAGACGCAGUGGUGGCCAGAGGGUGAUGGAGAAGACGGGAAAAGCGACAGCCACGCUCCUGGCUGAAGCCGCAGGACGCAAAUAACUUACUUUGUACCUGACAGUUUCUCACGUUGUUGUGGAGGCCCUGUUUCCUGGAAAUAAACUCAAAUUGUUGUUUUCUG
rnacentral:lncRNA from 1 species